CAACUUUAGUCCCGUGGUUAAGAGUUCGAGUUGGGUCAACUUUUGGCAGCCCGACGGGAUCCUAGUCACUAAAUACCUUCGCCGGCUACUUGUCUUGUGCUGCUGCGUGUUGCUUUCUUCUUUCUCUUCCUCUGUUUGCUGCUCGGGCCACCAUGCGUUAGUGUUGACAACUAAAGUUCAAGUUCCUGCAAUUUCAAUUCUUCUACAGGAAGGUACUCUUCAAACAUGGCCCGAGAUGAUGUGGUCUUGGAGGAGGAAACCGAUGAUGAGUAUGAUGAUGAUGAUGAUGAUGACGAUGAUGAUGACGAUGAUGAUGAUGAUGAGUACGAAGUAGAGAAGGAGGAUAAAGGUGAUCCGGAAGAUUUGGCGCUUGACGAGGUAGUGCGCAUGUGUAGCAAGUUCGAGCACCCAACAGAGAUUGCUCCCCUCAUUGACAACAAUGCUAGGGAAGAUUAUCCCACGAUAUCCUCAAGUGUGCUACACACAAAUCCGAGGAAAGAAGUUCAGACUACCACCAAAAUUACAAGCAAGGUUGCAACAAAGAAGCGAAAAGGAAGGGGUCCGGUCAAGGGAUUGAGAGUCACAACCCCUAUGACCCUCGAGUAUGAUGAUAUGGGUCAACCUUGUGGUAAAUGGCGUGCAAAGUAUGGGCAACAUAUUGGGCUUUGUAUGCGCAAACUCAACAUUUUAACCAAAUGGAAGGAUGUGCCCGAGGGAAUGAAGAAAGCAUUAUGGGAAGAUACGUGUUUUCUAUUCCACAUUACUCCUGAUGAGAAUAAAAAGGCGUUGUUUCUUUCCGCGGUGGCUGAAAGAUUUAGAACUUUCAAAAGCAAACUAGUGAGUGGGUGGAUCACAAAACGACGAAAUAGGACUACAAAGAAGAGGAAAACUGAAAAAGCAAAGCAAGAUGAUGAGAAUGAUGGAAAUGUGGGAGAAACGGAAAAAGAGCCCGAACAUGAAAAAGAAAAGGAAGGGGGGGAGAAAGAGAUACCAGAACCAGAGUCCUUGCCUUAUCAGAUAUGGUCCCAUAUAAAACCAGAAGACUGGGAGGCAUUUGUUGCCCAUAAUACUACGCCGGAGGUUGUGGCUAAGCGUGAGAAACAUUCCCAAAGUUCAAGACAGAGGAAGCAUUACCAUCAUAUGGGUUCCUUGACUUAUGAGAGGGCGAGAGAGAAAUGGAUUAAUGAGGAUUUUUACCCAACUAUUGACUCAUCAAUAACGCCAUCUUCUAGCUCCAAGGCUGCAUCAGUCAAAGUUGACCGUGUCUCUGAUUGGUGGUGCUCUAUGCAUGGGCGUGAUGAGAACAAUAAAAUGACCAUUUCAGAUCCGCAGACCUUGAAAAUAGCCAAUGCCAUUAUGGGGCUCAAGCAAAAAGAGGUUAUCGGCGAUUUCACUCCUAAAGGCAACAAGGAUGCCAUAUACGAGACCUUGGGAAAGGACCACAAUGGACGUUUGAGGGGUGUUGGUGGUCUUCGUCUCAGCGUGACAAAAGUCUAUGGUAAAGAGUGCUCCGUGGGUACACAAUCACAAUCGAAGUUUUCCUUACCACAUGAUUUGGAAGCUAUUACACAAGCUGUACGAGAGAAUCUUACGGAGGAAAUCACGGAGAAAGUCACAGAGAAAGUCACGGAAAGCUUCAAUGCCAUCCUCUCACAGUUUGGUUUGCAGGAGAUACGUCAACCUAAACUGGAUCGUCCUUUGCAGGACAAAGCUAGCAAAUCUAACACACAAAAGUCGACAUCAUCUAUACUUGAGUUAGAGGAAGAAACACCUUGCCACCUUUUACUAGAUGUGGAAGGUGAAGGUUUGAUUGUGGUAGCUGAAGGCCACGCACAACCACAGUGUGACCGGGCGACAAUCCAUCACGAGUAUGUGGACAGUGAGCACUACGGGGUUAGUGUAGACACCAUCACGCCUGGUUACGAAGAUUUCGCUGUUCCAAUGCCUAAACCAACAUACGAUAUACAUGUCUUGACCGACGCUCGUGGUGGUUAUGUGUUGUGGCCAUCUGCGUGGGUGAGAUUUUCAGAUGAGGUUUUGGAGAGAAUAAAAAAGCCCAAGGCAAACCGGGCGGACUUGCCUCCUCAACAAAAGGCAAAGUCUAUUUCAUCAAGCCGGCCAAAGAAGGCCAUUUCGGGUGAAGGAGUGCAAGCCUCAAAAGGUUCAAGUCUGCAAGAAAACACAUCUAAAGAUACUUGGAUCGAGAAAUCAAUGCUCAAGUAUCUCACUAAGGCAUGCUUAUGGCUAUAUGUAAAUGCAUGUGAUAUGCCGGAUGAUAAACCAAUGGAGGUGAAUUUGGGCUCCACGCAAUUCAACUACGUUAAGGAUACAUCGACAUGGGUUUCUAAAGUUGAUAUCAAGGAGUUCCUUUGCGGAGAGAUGUUGAAUGUUUCCUUAAUUCAAGUUUUCAUGAGAUUACUCCAAGUUGACCUUUGCGGACGCGAUUGCAUACCAGAGCAAUAUGGGUGGUUAUGUCCAAGUUUGAUCCAAGCUGCCAAUUGUUUGGUUAACGCAGCUGAGGUUAAGGAGUAUAUUUGGAAAGGUGUCGAAGAAUCUCGUCGUGCAAAAAAGAAGUUCAUACUCGCUCCCUAUUUUGAAAAUCUCCAUUGGUCACUCCUUGUGAUUUGUCAUCCAAACAACACAGUAUAUCAGUUUGAUUCUUCUGCUCAAAAUCCACCUCGACCCUUACUCCUCAAAUCAUGCUUAAAUAGUGCAUUGAAGAAAUUGAAGAGGACGGGAAAACUUCCUCGGUGGAAAGCAAUGAAGUGUGCGCAACAACCGGGGGGAACCGAGUGUGGCUACUAUGUGUUGAGGUUCAUGCUCGAUAUAACCUCAAGUUGCAAGGAAGUCGGGGAUCUUGAGAAGGUAUUCCUCGAUGACAAACCAAGAGAGGGUUCUUUCACCAUUACCGAGAUCAACGAGGUUCGGGAUUUGGUAGCACACUACCUUACCGAUGUUUGUAUGUGAAGAUGGAGCGGCUUUGCGUUUAUUUACUCUCAUUAUGUUACUAGCUAGCUAUCUAGAUCAUUAUAUGUAAUUCAGGUUACGAUUUAAGGAAAGAUGAGGCAAUUGGAGCGCAUACUUUUGGCACAGACUUUUACUCCCAUUACCAGGAGUUCCAAUCUCCAGAGCAUGAGGUGUUCUUCCAUUACCAGGCUCUUUGCAUCAUCAAGAUGGCCCCAAGCUUUCUCCACAAUGGUUACUAGAUCCUGCAAGAUGGAAUUGGACUCUUUUACAUUUGAGCCUUAAAAAUUGAUGCAGAAGAAGUAUUUUACUCUACCAAUCUGUCUUAUGCCAUGGUGAAUCUGUGCCACCUUCUUCCUGGUCAUAUCCUCUGAUUUUUGUGGACAUUGCAUUCCUUCUAAUUGUCAUGUUCCUGUAAUAUUUUCUAUUAGAAGAUAUUGUAUCACAAUUAGGCAUAUCCUUUAAAUCAGUUCAUGCUUAAACAUUUGUGGUAUGCUACAAACUUCAUGCAAGUAUUAGGUCCUAUUUCAGAAUCAGAUCAAUCCUAUAAUACUUCUACAUUAAUAUCAUAACACAAAAAUAAGAGAACUGUAAAUUUUGCUAGUAUUCAGUUUAAACAUCCUGCAUGGUAACGUAAUUUAUCAAAGCACCUUCUUUGACAUUCUUUCCGGGGAUUUACUUUGGCUUUCACAUACUUUGCCUUGUAGUUUGCUGGAGGACAGAGAGUUAUUCCCUGUGAACCUAAUGCAGGUUUACUUUAAAUGCUGGCUGUUAUAUGGAUUUAUGGUUUUACUUAGAAGCAAUGAUUACAGUGACUAUUCCUGAAUAUCAUACCUUGGGGCUUGGUGUAACAAUUGGAGUACUUUCUGUUUGUGGCUGUUUUGAGCACUUUGAACCAAGUAUGGCUUGCUGGUGUUUUGUGUCAGCAUGAGAUAACAGUGCUCAUAUUCUUAUUUUUACUUUUAAUGCAUUGUUAUUUUGCUUUACCGGUGAUCGAUUCUAUAAAUUCAGUAGGGGAUAGGUUGGUUUACUUGACUUUUUCAUACAUGUACUCGUCUGCCUGAGGCGUGAAGUAAAGCGAUUUGCUGAUCUCACUGCUGAUGAGACUUGUGAUAUAUGGCUCACAGCACAAAAAGUUGGUAGGCAGCUGGAAGACUACCAUAAAGCAUCAUCACUAACUCUUGCAACCCAAGUACAUACUCCAACAUGGCACUAGCUUCAUGCAAACUCGAUCUAUUAUCUUCUGUUUCCUAUCUUUUGUGCAUCUAUGCGAGAGUAUUGGUUCAGAUUUAUAUUAUUAAAUCAUGGCCUUUUAUCUUUAUCAUUAUGAAUUAUGAUAUGGUCUCUUAGGAUUUCUCAAUCAGCUAAGCUUUCGACGUAAUUACUAUAUGUGUGGCAUCCGUUUGUAUUUGUCAAAUUGACUAUUGAACUUUAUUAUAAAGCCGCAGGAUGGGAAUCAGGCAGGACAGACUGUAGCCAUGUCCACAUUCAUAUACUUCCUCAGAAAACUGGCGACUUUGAGAAGAAUGAUGAGAUCUAUGAUGCGCACCAGAUAGAUUUGAAGGAGAAGGAAUUAGCUCAAAAUCUGGACUUGGACAAGGAAAGGAAGGAUAAAACUCUCGAAGAGAUGAGUCAAGAGGCAUCGGACUACAGGGCUCUGUUCACCUGACUGCUAAUGCUGUGAUGCACAAUUUUUCAAAUGCUAUACUUUUUAAGAACACUCUUGUUGUGGUCAGAAACUAAGUCUAUGUGCUCAUUGCUGAACAUGCAAUUAUGAUUGACAUAUUAAUGCAAUAUCAGAACUUUACAUUAAUCGAAA